ACUUAAGGUCCGGCUGCGUGAGCCAUUGACGUGUUUGGAGCUGGAGACGGCCUGGGCGCUGGCGAAGCCUCCGCGCGAGCGCGAGGAAGAAGGAUGCCGGUGGUGGCUCGGAGCAUGAGGGAUCCUGACGUGAAUCCGUGCUUGUCGGAAUCUGACGCUUCUGCCAGAUGUUUGGAUGAAAAUAACUAUGACAAGGAAAGGUGUUCCACUCACUUCUUGAAGUACAAGAACUGCCGGAAGUUCUGGGUGAGCCCACCUGGUUGCCUUUAUGUUAGAAGUCAUCUCUGAGGCUUGACCGUGAAGCCUGACAUCACCAGCCCCUCCCUCAGUAGGGCUCUCUGACUUGAUCCUCCAUGUGCCCUGAAGGAUACGGGCUGCUCCUCAGCUGCCUCGUCCUGCUCCAGGCGUAAGAAGCAGCUCUGACAGGAAUUCUGUCAUGCUCCAGAGAAGGCAGAACGGAGUGAAGCCACCUAUGCCCACGGCCGCAGAAAGAGACGAGAUCUUGGGAGCACUGGGAAAGAUGCCCUAUUGAGCGUUUGCAUUAAAAUGGUUUAUUUAACACA